rnacentral:tRNA from 1 species
AGGGAUAUAGCUAAGUGAUAAGAGCAUUUUCCCAGCAUGCACAAGGCCCUGAGUUCAAAUUCCUAGUAUUCCUA